rnacentral:rRNA from 1 species
UACGUAGGGUGCAAGCGUUAAUCGGAAUUACUGGGCGUAAAGCGUGCGCAGGCGGUUUUGUAAGUUUGUCGUGAAAUCCCCGGGCUCAACCUGGGAAUGGCGAUGAAGACUGCAAGGCUAGAAUCUGGCAGAGGGGGGUAGAAUUCCGCGUGUAGCAGUGAAAUGCGUAGAUAUGCGGAGGAACACCGAUGGCGAAGGCAAUCCCCUGGGCCUGCACUGACGCUGAGACGCGAAGGCGUGGGGAGCGAACGGG